UUGUAGUCUACGAUCGUCUCAAAGAUUAAGCCAUGCAUGUGUAAGUGUAAAUGUAGUACUUUGGAACUGCGAAUGGCUCAUUAUAUCAGUUAUAGUUUAUUUGGUGAAUGAUACUACUUGGAUAACCGUAGUAAUUCUAGGGCUAAUACAUGAGAAAGUCCUCUUUGGAGGUGUGUUUAUUAGAAUGAAAACCAUAUGCUUCGGCAUGAUAGUGAGUAAUAGUAACCUAUCGUAUCGCAUGCUUGAUGUAGCGAUGAAUUCUUUCAAGUUUCUGCCCUAUCACUUUCGAUGGUAGUAUAUGGGCCUACCAUGAUAG
rnacentral:rRNA from 1 species